CCUCUCUCCCUCUCUUAAUAUCUCUCACUAAAAGUCUUACUUGUUCUCCAACCCCUCUCCCUAUAAUUUAAUUAAGCUUUAAAAGCAAUCUCAUCUCUACCUUCAAUAGUUCCCAUUAUAUAAUAUGGCCUUUUACAAGUCCAAAAAUCAUCAUCUAGGACCACAAAAUAAGUAUAACUAAUUGUUUAUCUUAGUGGUGGUUCCAGUCAUAUCUCCUCCGUACUCCGCCGUAUCGUUCCGACUACAAAAAUCCCUCACUUCCGAUCUCAAGAAUGAGCAGGAGAAAUGGAAAUGGUUCAAGGCUUGAUCUAAAAUUGAAUUUGUCACCACCACCAAGAGUGAACCACGUGGCGCCACAAGUGGAGUCGCCGACAAGGUCAUUGACCAUGUCCCCGACGAAUUCAUGUGUGUCAUCUGAUGAUUCGUCGGGGGGUCAACGUGGUUCCAACAGCCCCAAAGCGGUGACUUCGAUGCUGUUGGUUGGUUGUCAAAGGUGUCUUAUGUAUGUUAUGUUAUCGGGAGUUAAUGAUCCACCAAGGUGCCCAAAAUGCAAGAGUACUUGUUUGCUUGAUGUUAUGUAUGAGAAAAAAUAAGAAGUAUUGAGUCGGUCAAGAUCAAAUCCAUCAAAUUCUCAUAUUAUUACUAGUUUAUCAAUAUCGCCGUCCUACCCCCACCUUAAAAAAUAUAUAUAUAUGAAAAACUAAAACCUUUGUAUCGCUUUUUUCAACUUUCUAUAAAUAGCACUAUAUGAGCUCCAUUUUGACUUUUUUAAAAAAUAUGAAAAAAAUGAAAGAAGGGAAAUUUGGAGCUUCUAUAGUGCUAUGUAUUAUUUUAUUUUUAUUUUUAUGGGUUGAUGAAGUUCUAGGUUAAUUAGGUUUGUUUCUAGUCUAGGAAAGUAUGGUGAUCUUGGAAAAUUAA